AUAGCUUGCUAUUUUUAUGAAGAGCGGCGAACGGGUGAGUAACGCGUGGGAAAUCUGCCGAGUAGCGGGGGACAACGUUUGGAAACGAACGCUAAUACCGCAUAACAAUGAGAAUCGCAUGAUUCUUAUUUGAAAGAAGCAAUUGCUUCACUACUUGAUGAUCCCGCGUUGUAUUAGCUAGUUGGUAGUGUAAAGGACUACCAAGGCGAUGAUACAUAGCCGACCUGAGAGGGUGAUCGGCCACACUGGGACUGAGACACGGCCCAGACUCCUACGGGAGGCAGCAGUAGGGAAUCUUCGGCAAUGGGGGCAACCCUGACCGAGCAACGCCGCGUGAGUGAAGAAGGUUUUCGGAUCGUAAAACUCUGUUGUUAGAGAAGAACGUUAAGUAGAGUGGAAAAUUACUUAAGUGACGGUAUCUAACCAGAAAGGGACGGCUAACUACGUGCCAGCAGCCGCGGUAAUACGUAGGUCCCAAGCGUUGUCCGGAUUUAUUGGGCGUAAAGCGAGCGCAGGUGGUUUCUUAAGUCUGAUGUAAAAGGCAGUGGCUCAACCAUUGUGUGCAUUGGAAACUGGGAGACUUGAGUG
rnacentral:rRNA from 1 species